UGGGGUUCUUUUAUUAUCUAAUCAGAAACGAAUUGCGGUCAAGUGACCUCACACGACUUUUCUGUUCCUCGUGCUUAGACAAUAUUUUUUUGAAGUGUUUCGAAAAUUUGGAUUAUUAAUUUCGAUAUGGUUUUGAAAGCUUGGAGUAAUAUUGCGAAAAGGUAAGUUGGAGUGUAAAUAUAUUUUUCAUAGUUGCACUUUCAAUCUUUAUUAAAUUUGUUAUUGAUUUGACCCAAAUAAGUACCGUGUCGUGACCUUUACCCGUUUACCUGCCAAAGUUUGUAAACAAUGUACACAAAUUUAGCGUACAAGUGUUGAUGUACCUAUAUAUAUUGACACACACACACACACACACACACACACACACACACACACACACACUAAUAUAUCUGAAUUACCCACAUUAACAUUCAUAGUAAUAAUUAUUGUACAAACAAACUUCUGCACAUACAGUCAUACUUGUUCAACAUGAUACUUUUUUACACACAAAUUCCUUUCCAUAACUUUCACACAUACUUAUACCAUAGGCAUAGCACUUACAGAUG
rnacentral:lncRNA from 1 species